CCUACGGGAGGCAGUAGUGGGGAAUAUUGGACAAUGGGCGAAAGCCUGAUCCAGCAAUGCCGCGUGAGUGAUGAAGGCCUUAGGGUCGUAAAGCUCUUUUACCCGGGAUGAUAAUGACAGUACCGGGAGAAUAAGCCCCGGCUAACUCCGUGCCAGCAGCCGCGGUAAUACGGAGGGGGCUAGCGUUGUUCGGAAUUACUGGGCGUAAAGCGUACGUAGGCGGUUAUUCAAGUCAGAGGUGAAAGCCCGGGGCUCAACCCCGGAACGGCCUUUGAAGCUAGAUAGCUAGAGUCUUGGAGAGGUCAGUGGAAUUCCGAGUGUAGAGGUGAAAUUCGUAGAUAUUCGGAAGAACACCAGUGGCGAAGGCGACUGACUGGACAAGUACUGACGCUGAGGUACGAAAGCGUGGGGAGCAAACAGGAUUAGAUACCCUGGUAGUCCACGCCGUAAACGAUGAUAACUAGCUGUCCGGGUACUUGGUAUCUGGUGGCGCGAGCUACGACAUUAAGUUAUACCGUCCGUCGGGUAGGUACGGUCGGCGAAGAAUUAAACUAACAAAGAAAGUUAGUACGGCGUGAGACGUGCCGAACGGACGACGACGAGGGGAGGUAGG
rnacentral:rRNA from 1 species